CGCUGGCGGCGUGCUUAACACAUGCAAGUCGAACGAAUGAAGCCGCUUGCUGGUGGAUUAGUGGCGAACGGGUGAGUAACACGUGAGUAACCUGCCCUUAACUCUGGGAUAAGCCUGGGAAACUGGGUCUAAUACCGGAUAUGACUCCUCAUCGCAUGGUGGGGGGUGGAAAGCUUUAUUGUGGUUUUGGAUGGACUCGCGGCCUAUCAGCUUGUUGGUGAGGUAAUGGCUCACCAAGGCGACGACGGGUAGCCGGCCUGAGAGGGUGACCGGCCACACUGGGACUGAGACACGGCCCAGACUCCUACGGGAGGCAGCAGUGGGGAAUAUUGCACAAUGGGCGCAAGCCUGAUGCAGCGACGCCGCGUGAGGGAUGACGGCCUUCGGGUUGUAAACCUCUUUCAGUAGGGAAGAAGCGAAAGUGACGGUACCUGCAGAAGAAGCGCCGGCUAACUACGUGCCAGCAGCCGCGGGUAAUA
rnacentral:rRNA from 2 species